CUUCCUUGUACAACUUGUUAAUUUUUUUCUCUCCAAUAUGACCAAGCCUACAAUGCCAAAAAGUAUGUAUGAUUUACUUGAUCGUCUCUUUUUAUCAUAAGAUGUGAAACAUGCAUAAUUGAAUUAGCAUACACAUUAGGUAAGACAUAAACAUCAUCUUGGAGAUAGCCAUUCACAUAUAAAUUAUCACCAUAAAAAAUAGAGCAAAUGACAUUGCUUAUAUUAAUGCGAAUCCCACGUUUUUCCAACAUAGAAGCUGAAAUUAUGUUCGAAAAAAAUUUAGGAACAUACUAAAAAUCAUCUAGCAGUAGUAAGGAAAUUGAUCCAACAGCUAUGGCUGCACCUUUUGCACUAUUUCCAACUUGUAGAUUAAUUUCUCCUUUCUUUAGUCUCCUACUGAUAUUGAACCCUUGCAACAUAUUGCAGAUGUUAUAACCACUGUCAGUAUCUAAUAGCCACAGUGAAGAAUUAGUAGUAGCUAAAGAAACCUUGAAAAUAUUUUUCAUUAAUGUUUCACCUUGUUUAUUGUCCUUUAGAGUUGCAAGAUACUCCUUGCAGUUUCUAUUCCAAUGUCCAAUUGUGUAUCAACCAUCUUUUUAAGAUAUUCAAUUAUUGCAGUUGGAUCCAUAUUCUGAUAUUUCCUCUGGAGUUCAGAACUCAUAGAAGCGGGAAUGAUGUGUUUAAUACCAAGGCAUUCUUCCAAGUAUUUCUGAUAAACCUUGGUGCCUUGAACAUCAUUCUCUAGUAGGAUUAUCUUUGCGGGUUUAUCAAUCACAUCAAUAAGCGUUUCAUGCAUGGGAACAAUUCUCAAAUUUCUAUACCAGUUAUCAAACUUUGGUCCUACCAACUUGUUGGUCUCAAGUAUUACAUGCAGUGAUAUAACAGACAUAUUAAGAUAUCUUAAAUGUAGAAAAGAAAAGUCAAUAAUGUAAGAACAUAUUUGCAUAUAUCAUAAAGACAUGGACUUUAUCUAAAUAAUAUUUCCACUAAUUAUUUUAAACUAUUUACCCUCAUUAUAGUUUACGAAAUCUUUAUUUCUUUUAGUGGAGUAAAGAAAUCAUUUAACAAUAUGUAUGAGCCCCUUGGAAAACAAGUCGUUUCUCACAUAUUUUAAAGGAAGUAAAGGAAUCCUUUUAACAAUAUGUAUGAGAACCUUGAAAGUCAAGUCGUUUCUCACAUAUAUUUUAAAGUUAGGUACUCUUACCAAUUGUAUCCCCAUACAAUUUUCUUAAAUAGCUCUAUGUCAAAUAGUUCCCUGGUAGUCAGGUCGAUCCUAUUGGCACAGUUGAGUUCAACCAUCAUGAUAGCAAAGAACUUAUUAAAUUUUAUACUCCCCCGGGUAAUCCAUGCGUCUAGUGUAAAAUUAAAUAAUUCUUUCAAUCCAUACAUCUAAUGCAAUAAAUAAUUUUAACAUAUUCUCGAACUAUAAGUCUCCUGGUAGUCAGGUCUAUUGUAAAAUUGAAUAAUUCUUUAAAUCCAUACAUCUAAUGCAAUAAAUAAUUUUAAUAUAUUCUCGAACUAUAUGUCUCCUGGUAGUCCGGCCGCUCCUUAUAAACAAGAAAUAAGUAAAAUUAUUUACCUUGAUGGACAGCUCUAUAAUAGAAUAUCUUAUAUCAAGAGAAAAUUGUUACAAAAACAACUUUUAAUAACAGCAAGAUCAAAUCUUUUAUAACAUGUGAAUUUAUUUCUGGUUGUAUACAUGCUUAGUCCUUAUUUAAUUUACAUUACAUGGAAUAACUAAUUUAAAAUUAUGUAAUGAACAAGCAUGUGAUAUAAAACAUGAAAUUCAACAUACUUCUAAUAUGUUUAUAUUAUAUAUCAGAUAUAUAAAAUAAUUCAUGCCAAAAAAUUAUUAUUAGUUAAUACCUCAUAAACUAAUAACAAUUUAAAUAAUUGUAUAAUCUAAUAACCUAUUAUAGAUUACCUUAUCAUAUACGAAAUUUUAAAUUCAAGUUACAAACUAUCUUACUAGUUUAACUUUUAUGAAUACAUAUUUUAUUCACAAUGAAAUAAUAGCAAUCCAUCCAUUCAAAUAAUUUGUCUAGUGCACAAAACACAUGUAUUAUGGUUUGAACUUUUCAAAUAUAAUCAUAAGAUAUUUCUUAAAGAAAUUUUAAACACGAGAACUCAUGGCUCUGAUACCAUUAUUAGAUUGCAUAGAUGCGUUCAUAACAUGUAACGGAAGAGAAAAGCAACCCUAGGUAGAAAUUUUUGUGUUUAAAAUUUAUUUACAUAUCAAAGAUCAGAUCUAAGACAUACCUUAUGAAGAAAGUAUCGUUUUAAAUUUCUACGAUAGUGCGAAGACUCUAUGUGUAUUCACACCGAGACUAGUCGUUGCUAUCAACUCCUUGAUCAAUGAAACCCCGUGAACAAAUUGAAAGAAAAUAUUAUGUUGAAAUUUUUUCAAAAAUCUCAACUCAAAAGUAAAAGAACAAGAAAUAAUUUUCUUGUACUAGUAUUUUUUAUUUUGGUUUUAUAUUGCGCUAUUACUUUCUCAAAGUAAUUCUUCUCACGAAUGACUCUCUUGCUUUCUAUAGAAUAUGUAUAAUAUCUA
rnacentral:lncRNA from 1 species